rnacentral:lncRNA from 1 species
UUUUCUCGGCGAAAAGACGUGCAAUGUGAAUAUUGCUUGAUGUUGGAGUAAACGGGCAGGGCUUUCACUCUUCACAGAGCAUGUCCUUAAAAAAAUACUGUAUUACGCGUAUACAUAUCACCUGAAAUGUCUACAUUGUACGAUUAUCUUUUGCUCACCGAUAAGUAAUUUAGCAUGCACAACAUUUUUUAUUGAUCUUAUAUUACCAUCUUUCGC